CAGGCGUGAGCCACCGCGCCCGGCUGAGAGUCAAUUUUUAUACUCUCUCUAAGGAAGACAGGCUCUCUGAGCUGUGAAUUUCUCAACUACCUGAACUUCACCCCAACCUACCUGAAGAAUAUGCAAUUACCAUUAGUCACAGUGGCUCAUUACGUCAAUGAGCUGGGAAACCCUCUCUCUCCCACCUCUGCUGGCACGAAACAGUAUCAGGCCUGAAGAAUCAAGCCCCAAUUCCUCAGCCUCACAUUCACAGCCAUCUGUGAUUUGGCAUCAAGCUUCUUUUCUGACUCUGGCUCAAACUACUAUUCUUUAAUGCACUCAAUGCUUCAACUCACAUCAGAUAUUCCAGGCACUUCUAAGCUUCCAAGUACUUAUUUAUGUAACUCAUAAACCAGAAUACCUCCCCCCUCUCCCGUCCUUCCAAGCCUUUUCUAUUCCUAUUUACACUUUGAAGUCCUAUUCAAACAAGAACUCUGCCAUGAAGUCUUCUUGGAUAUCUUCAGGUGGAAUUAAUUCUCUACUUCUUUUUUUCAAUAGCUUAUCUAUAACUCUGUUCUAGUGUAUUUAUCACUCCAUCUUAUUUUAUAAUCAGAGACAGUUGUUCCAGUAACUCUUGUAACUCUCUUUCCACUGAGUCUGAUCAUUCUGGUUUUAAGGACAGGUACCAUCCUGUUCCCAGCACCUUCCACAGAGCAGCUUGAUAAAUACUGGUUGACUUGAAAAGAUGAGCCAUGGCACAUCCUUUCAGCACCUCAGGAGGUGCCGGUGCCUUGAGCCGUGGCACUGGCGUAUGCUGACACUGCUGCCUCCAGUAGUUCUUUUGUUCUCUUCCCUUUAUCACCCCUACACCUUGGAGGUGAACUUCCCUCCUGACGGCGUAAAGACUAGUUUGAAAAGGGAGAGCCAAGAACCAACUGAAUCUUCUCAGAAUGGAAACACUAUAUUAUUUCAGAGGAGUUAAUUGCAGAAGGAAAAUGGGUCAAGCUUGAAAAAACAACAUACAUGGCUCCUAUUGGUAAAACUGGAACUUGGGACUCAGUGAAACAUACAACCAGGAAAGAACAGACUGGUGAUGAUGUAGCACUCAUCCCUGUGCUGCAGAGAACACGUCACUACGAGUGUAUCGUUCUGGUGAAACAGUCCUGACCACCAAUGGGUGGCUACUGCAUACAGUUCCCUGCAGGUGUCAUAGAUGAUGGUGAAACCCCAGGAGCAGCCGCUCUUUGGGAGCUUGAGGAAGAAACUGGCUACAAAGGGGACAUUGCCGAAUGUUCUCCAGCGGUCUGUAUGGACCCAGGUUCGUCAAACUGUACCACACACAUCGUGACAGUAAUCAUUAACGGAGAUGACGCAGAAAAUGUAAGGCCCAAGCCAAAGCCAGGGGAUGGAGAAUUUGUGGAAGUCAUUUCGUCACCCAAGAAUGACCUGCUGCAGAGACUCAAUGCUCUCGUAGCUGAAAAACAUCUUACAGUGGAUGCCAGAGUCUAUUCCCAUGCUCUAGCACUGAAAUAUGCAAAUGCGAAGCCAUUUGAAGUGCCCGUCCUGAAAUUUUAAGGCCAAAGAUGACACUGGCCAUUUUUGUAAACGAGACUACCAGGCCUUCUUCACAAAGACUCUGUAUUCAACUUAGUUUAAUGUAGAUUUGAACUAGCUUUUUUGUAAAAUAAAAGCAGCACAAAAU